rfam:Brassica rapa chromosome A4, whole genome shotgun sequence.
ACAAUGGUGUCACUUGACACCACAAAAAUAAUAUAAAUCAGAUUUU